UGGCGAUCGACAUCGCGAUUUUCCGCGCCGACGUCUUUGAUGUCGCCCCCUCGACCACAACCUCGACCAGCUUGCGCGCGCCUUCGCCGUCGCGCGCGACCUGUUCGGCGAGAUCAGCCAGAAUGCCGUUGAAGGCCUUGGUGAACGCUUUCAGGCGCGGAUCGGAGGCACGGGUGAUUUUCGGCGCGCCAUGUGCUGCUGCGGCGCCGGUGGCGAAGGCCAGCAGCGUGUCCGAUGUCGAGGUGUCGCCAUCGAUGGUCACCGCGUUGAACGUAUCCUCGACGCCGGUCUUGAGCAGUGAUUGCAGCGCUCCUGC
rnacentral:misc_RNA from 1 species